CCUACGGGUGGCAGCAGUGAGGAAUAUUGGUCAAUGGACGAGAGUCUGAACCAGCCAAGUCGCGUGAAGGAUGACUGCCCUAUGGGUUGUAAACUUCUUUUAUAUGGGAAUAAAAUGUUCCACGUGUGGGAUUUUGUAUGUACCUUAUGAAUAAGCAUCGGCUAACUCCGUGCCAGCAGCCGCGGUAAUACGGAGGAUCCGAGCGUUAUCCGGAUUUAUUGGGUUUAAAGGGAGCGUAGGUGGAUUGUUAAGUCAGUUGUGAAUGUUUGCGGCUCAACCGUAAAAUUGCAGUUGAAACUGGGGGUCUUGAGUACAGGAGAGGUAGGCGGAAUUCGUGGUGUAGCGGUGAAAUGCUUAGAUAUCACGAAGAACUCCGAUUGCGAAGGCAGUUCACUGGACUGCAACUGACGCUGAGGCUCGAAAGUGUGGGUAUCAAACAGGAUUAGAUACCCCAGUAGUC
rnacentral:rRNA from 1 species